AUUGAACGCUGGCGGCAGGCCUAACACAUGCAAGUCGAGCGAGAGGCGGGCGGGUGAGUGAUAUCUGGGGGACUGCCUGAUAGAGGGGGGGAACAACUGGAAACAGUGGCUAAUACAGCAUACCAUCAGAUGUGCCCAUAUGGGAUUAGCUAGUGGGUGGGGUAAAGGCUCACCUAGGCGACGAUCCCUAGCUGGUCUGAGAGGAUGAGCAGCCACACUGGAACUGAGACACGGCCCAGACUCCUACGGGAGGCAGCAGUGGGGAAUAUUGCACAAUGGGCGCAAGCCUGAUGCAGCCAUGCCGCGUGUGUGAAGAAGGCCUUAGGGUUGUAAAGCACUUUCAGCGGGGAGGCGUUACCCGCAGAAGAAGCACAGGCUAACUCCGUGCCAGCAGCCGCGGUAAUAC
rnacentral:rRNA from 1 species